rnacentral:rRNA from 1 species
UGGCUGGUGCGGGCUAUGUGCAGUCGAGCGGACAGAUGGGAGCUUGCUCCCUGAUGUUAGCGGCGGACGGGUGAGUAACACGUGGGUAACCUGCCUGUAAGACUGGGAUAACUCCGGGAAACCGGGGCUAAUACCGGAUGCUUGUUUGAACCGCAUGGUUCAGACAUAAAAGGUGGCUUCGGCUACCACUUACAGAUGGACCCGCGGCGCAUUAGCUAGUUGGUGAGGUAACGGCUCACCAAGGCGACGAUGCGUAGCCGACCUGAGAGGGUGAUCGGCCACACUGGGACUGAGACACGGCCCAGACUCCUACGGGAGGCAGCAGUAGGGAAUCUUCCGCAAUGGACGAAAGUCUGACGGAGCAACGCCGCGUGAGUGAUGAAGGUUUUCGGAUCGUAAAGCUCUGUUGUUAGGGAAGAACAAGUGCCGUUCAAAUAGGGCGGCACCUUGACGGUACCUAACCAGAAAGCCACGGCUAACUACGUGCCAGCAGCCGCGGUAAUACGUAGGUGGCAAGCGUUGUCCGGAAUUAUUGGGCGUAAAGGGCUCGCAGGCGGUUUCUUAAGUCUGAUGUGAAAGCCCCCGGCUCAACCGGGGAGGGUCAUUGGAAACUGGGGAACUUGAGUGCAGAAGAGGAGAGUGGAAUUCCACGUGUAGCGGUGAAAUGCGUAGAGAUGUGGAGGAACACCAGUGGCGAAGGCGACUCUCUGGUCUGUAACUGACGCUGAGGAGCGAAAGCGUGGGGAGCGAACAGGAUUAGAUACCCUGGUAGUCCACGCCGUAAACGAUGAGUGCUAAGUGUUAGGGGGUUUCCGCCCCUUAGUGCUGCAGCUAACGCAUUAAGCACUCCGCCUGGGGAGUACGGUCGCAAGACUGAAACUCAAAGGAAUUGACGGGGGCCCGCACAAGCGGUGGAGCAUGUGGUUAAUUCGAAGCAACGCGAAAACCUUACCAGGUCUUGACUCCUCUGACAUCCUAAAGAUAGGACGUCCCUUCGGGGGAAAAUGACAGGUGGUGCUGGUUGUCCUCACUCGGGCCGG